rnacentral:tRNA from 1 species
AGGCGCGUAGCUCAGGGGGAGAGCGCUACCUUGACACGGUAGAAGUCGGUGGUUCAAAACCACUCGUGCCUA